AUCCACACUAUCCAAUAUGGUAACCACUAGCCACUUGUGACUACUGAGUGUCUGAAAGGUUCUGCUUGAAUUCUUGCCCUGGCUCUUGGUGAAGGAUCGGCCUGCUGGAUCUGAGUCAUCCACCUAUAAGAGGGACAACACCACACAUUGGUCGCUGCUCUCAAGCCCCUGGAAUACCACCCCACUUGGCUUCUCCUGGUAACAGUGGCUGCCUUUGCUUGCCUGUCUCCAACUCCUCCCAAGAGCAUUGCUGACUAGAUGGGCUCUCACUAUAGCCCUGUUCUGGAACUCCUGGGCUCAAGCCAUCCUCCCACUUUGGCCUCCCCAAAAUGCUGGGAUUACAGGCGUGAACCACCGCAUCUAGCCUAAAAUUAUAUUGUUAAAAGACUUUGUUUCUCAGUUUGGGAUAAUCAGAAUUCAUAGUUCUGAUCUCGACUACCAGUUUUAAUGAGGUACUUCUUUCUAACUCCAUCAGCUGUGUGGCUAUCUGCAGAUACCACCCACAUAAACAAAAACUUUUUGGGAGUCCUCCAGAAUUUUUAAGAGUUAUCUAAACUAUUGCCUUUAAUGACCAGGAACUCCAAUUUGAGAAGUUACCCUACGUUAAGCCAACAGCAGCCUGGCUCCUUCAUCCUGUGCAGUAUGGGACAGAGCUGGGUCCUUGUUGUCAUCAGCCAGACAAGCACACAUUAAAGCCCACCUUAGCCAUUGGCAUUACAGCUUUAAAAGCAGCUCCAUCCUACCAUGCUGUCACUCUACUCAAUCACGUGAUCUUAACGACCAGCUCUACAUAUCCUCUCUCCAUGCCCCCACCACCAUCCCCCACCAACAAAUCCGGUAAUCUAUCUCUGUCAAUAGUCCUGCAGUGAAUUCCGAAUAAGUUUUUCUCUUCCCUGGCCUGCCGUUUACGUAGUACCCUGGAUGAAUCUAUACUUACUCCAUAGUAAGUAGUACCUUGGAUGAAUCUAUACUUGCAUCCAAUGGAAAUGAGAGUGAUGGUGCAGAGUUAUCCGAAGUAACUCCAGCUAUGUUGUGGAUCUUCUAAUCAUGGGCUCAUCUAAGCCUUCCCAGAUAUCACUCUAGUUUUUACAAUCUUUGUUUAUGACAAUUAGGGCUGUAACAUUGGCUGUAGACAUUUGUUGCAUCAAGGAACUCAGCUUCCACUGAAGUUCUGAAGUUAAUCAGUUUCUGAUCUUGUUCUGCAACUCUCUGCAAGAAGAAAAAUCACCAGGAAAUAGUGCAUCCUGAAAGGAGUCAAAGUUUCCUUAUCCAGCUGGAGCAGUGUGAUCUCGGACCAGAGUCAAUUCCUUGCCCAACAGACUUCACAUUGAGCCAUGAGAAGCAGCCUACUUACCCUUACCUGGACACUUCUCCAAAACCUGUGAAAUGGCCUCUGUCACUGCCUCAAAGCCUCAUCCUUGGUGGGCAACUCACCUGGAUCCUGAGACCAAAAUAUAGAGCUUAAUGAACUGC
ensembl:lncRNA LINC02020 long intergenic non-protein coding RNA 2020